UCUUAUGGAUGAGCAAAGAAAGUAGUUUCUCGAGGCAGAAUCUACUCCUGGUGAAGAUACUUUGAA
rnacentral:pre_miRNA from 1 species